rnacentral:lncRNA from 1 species
UUUGAUCCAAGUGCAUGUGUGCGGAAGAGGGAUUUUGUGACUUAUGUGACUGUGUAAUCGAUUAUAGACAGGCUGUAAUCGCUUACAAGUGCUUCUGUACCAAAAGUCCAACGCUGCUCCCUGGCUCUGGUAGAGGGGGCUCCCUAGUGUGUGGUGGGUACUGACUUGGUUAGAAUUGAAGUUAUGAAUUUGAGAUUAAUGGUUGUUUUGGA